rnacentral:tRNA from 1 species
GCCCAGGUGGCGAAAUUUGGUAACCGCAGAAGACUUAAAAUCUUCCGCCUUCCAAGGCUUGCCGGUUCGAGUCCGGCCCUGGGCA